GUCUCUUAUGCUGGCUACGUAAAGGCUCUCUAGGAUCUGAGAAAAAGUUUCUGUGCCGGCGAGCGGAAAGGCAUAUGGAGCCAGAACGAUCCUUUUAUCUUUGAAAAGUGAAACACAAACGAUCUCGCUCGCCGGCACAUUUAUACUGGCCAUUUCUGCUGUCACAUGUAUCGAAGUCAAGAUCGCUUAAACGCUUUAAAUAAGGAGCGUACUUGUUAUUUAAAGCGCAAAAUAGAUUUGAGUAUAAGAAUACACAAAAACACGGCUGGAAAAACCCGGAAAAUACGGAUUUUCUACUGACAAACAAAAAAAGUUUGUGUUUGUUUUUGACACAAAUUGGCCGAAAACCUACCCGCACGCGGACGCAAAACAAAUAAAAAACAACUAUGGCCUAACAUCAUUUGAAAACAGACUACGAGUUACGAUAGAUGAAAAUCUAAAUCAAAUUUGUACUUCUUGCAAUGUUAAUCUCCUUUUUAUUUUGUGUUCGAUUAGUUCAAGAGAAAUCUGUAGCAAGCAUUACUGAAGACAAUAUGCAUAUGAGACCAUGUCCUGCUGUAAUGGUGCCACCACCGCCACCAGAUCCACCGAAUCCAAAUUAACAAUGAUUGAUAUUGUACUUGAAAUAAAAUUAGUAAUUUGGUGCAGCCGUCGUGAAUCUCCAUAGCUAUCAGCCUUGUUGAAUAAUUCAUUUAGUAAAAAUGGAAUACAAGUAGUUGUAUUGUAUAAGU
rnacentral:lncRNA from 1 species